rnacentral:sRNA from 1 species
AGUUCCACCGGGUCGACGCCGCGGGUGACCACGAGGUAGUCGCGCAUCACAAUUGAAUGCCGCGCCUC